rnacentral:lncRNA from 1 species
UAGUCUGAAUUCCAACGCGCCUCCCAUCAACUCGUUUAUCCAGAGAGUUAUUCAAAAUCACUUGCCUGUAGCCACUAGUGAGCCAGAUCCACGGUCUCGUGAAAUCAGGAUGGACCCCCAUCACCACCAAGUCUCCAUGGAUAUGGGAAAACAGGAGCAUGAGGUGUAACUGGAGAAGGGUGGUGAGGCAUGGAGGUAAGGGAGGGUCCACAGUGUGGGCCAAUGAGGAUCCAUGAGUAGGCAGGCUCAAGAAAGCCUCGAGUGCCUCUUGCAGUUCCUCCGAGGGUCGAGAGAUACAGCUGAGGUUGGAAUUAGUCGGGCAAAGUCAUGGGGGCAGCUCGGGCUCACAUUGAAAAGAUAGUGUAAGUGAAGAAAAGAGAGCAGACACGCAGAUGAGGAGGCCGCAGAAGAUUUCAAAGGUCCCCAGAAGGUACAAGAAGACUCCAGGAGAAAAAUACAGCAGAUGCUGUGCUGUCGGGAACCAUGAGUUUGUGGAUGAACAAGUCUUUGAAGAAAGCUGCAUGGAAGUGGCCACUGUUAAUCGCCCUUCAAGUCACAGCCCCUCCCUCUCUUCCCAACAAGGAGUCACCAGCACUUGCUGCUCACGGAGACACAAAAAAACUUUCCGAAUCCCAAAUGCCAAUGUGUCAGGAAGUCAUAGAGGCAGCGUGCAAGAACUCAGUACAAUUCAGAUCAGAUGUGUGGAGAGAACUCCACUAUCCAACAG